rnacentral:rRNA from 1 species
AGAGUUUGAUCAUGGCUCAGAUUGAACGCUGGCGGCAGGCCUAACACAUGCAAGUCGAGCGGUAGCACAGAGAGCUUGCUCUCGGGUGACGAGCGGCGGACGGGUGAGUAAUGUCUGGGAAACUGCCUGAUGGAGGGGGAUAACUACUGGAAACGGUAGCUAAUACCGCAUAACGUCGCAAGACCAAAGUGGGGGACCUUCGGGCCUCAUGCCAUCAGAUGUGCCCAGAUGGGAUUAGCUAGUAGGUGGGGUAACGGCUCACCUAGGCGACGAUCCCUAGCUGGUCUGAGAGGAUGACCAGCCACACUGGAACUGAGACACGGUCCAGACUCCUACGGGAGGCAGCAGUGGGGAAUAUUGCACAAUGGGCGCAAGCCUGAUGCAGCCAUGCCGCGUGUGUGAAGAAGGCCUUCGGGUUGUAAAGCACUUUCAGCGGGGAGGAAGGCGUUAAGGUUAAUAACCUUGGCGAUUGACGUUACCCGCAGAAGAAGCACCGGCUAACUCCGUGCCAGCAGCCGCGGUAAUACGGAGGGUGCAAGCGUUAAUCGGAAUUACUGGGCGUAAAGCGCACGCAGGCGGUCUGUCAAGUCGGAUGUGAAAUCCCCGGGCUCAACCUGGGAACUGCAUUCGAAACUGGCAGGCUAGAGUCUUGUAGAGGGGGGUAGAAUUCCAGGUGUAGCGGUGAAAUGCGUAGAGAUCUGGAGGAAUACCGGUGGCGAAGGCGGCCCCCUGGACAAAGACUGACGCUCAGGUGCGAAAGCGUGGGGAGCAAACAGGAUUAGAUACCCUGGUAGUCCACGCCGUAAACGAUGUCGAUUUGGAGGUUGUGCCCUUGAGGCGUGGCUUCCGGAGCUAACGCGUUAAAUCGACCGCCUGGGGAGUACGGCCGCAAGGUUAAAACUCAAAUGAAUUGACGGGGGCCCGCACAAGCGGUGGAGCAUGUGGUUUAAUUCGAUGCAACGCGAAGAACCUUACCUGGUCUUGACAUCCACAGAACUUAGCAGAGAUGCUUUGGUGCCUUCGGGAACUGUGAGACAGGUGCUGCAUGGCUGUCGUCAGCUCGUGUUGUGAAAUGUUGGGUUAAGUCCCGCAACGAGCGCAACCCUUAUCCUUUGUUGCCAGCGGUCCGGCCGGGAACUCAAAGGAGACUGCCAGUGAUAAACUGGAGGAAGGUGGGGAUGACGUCAAGUCAUCAUGGCCCUUACGACCAGGGCUACACACGUGCUACAAUGGCAUAUACAAAGAGAAGCGACCUCGCGAGAGCAAGCGGACCUCAUAAAGUAUGUCGUAGUCCGGAUUGGAGUCUGCAACUCGACUCCAUGAAGUCGGAAUCGCUAGUAAUCGUAGAUCAGAAUGCUACGGUGAAUACGUUCCCGGGCCUUGUACACACCGCCCGUCACACCAUGGGAGUGGGUUGC